rnacentral:rRNA from 1 species
GUUCCUACGGGACGCAGCAGUGGGGGAUAUUGCACAAUGGGGGAAACCCUGAUGCAGCGACGCCGCGUGAGUGAAGAAGUAUUUCGGUAUGUAAAGCUCUAUCAGCAGGGAAGAAAAAAGACGGUACCUGACUAAGAAGCCCCGGCUAACUACGUGCCAGCAGCCGCGGUAAUACGUAGGGGGCAAGCGUUAUCCGGAUUUACUGGGUGUAAAGGGGGCGCAGACGGCGAUGCAAGCCAGGAGUGAAAGUCCGGGGCUCAACCCCGGGACUGCAUUGGCAACUGUCCGGCUAGAGUGCAGGAGAG